GGUUUGAAGGAUUACAUGUAUAUAAAGGGAAGAAGACGAGAAAUGAAGGAAAGGGCGCCUAAGGCCGAGCGCUUCCCUCGCGAAAGAAGGGGUGGCGUGGUAUUCCACGGAGAGAGGUUCUUUAUACAUCGUGGCGCACGCUAGUGCGAUAGGCGCAUAUUAACACAAUUUUUUUUUUUUGUGGGGGAUGCCAUGGCCGCUUUGCUGCUUUAGUUCUUGUAGCCAAAGCGAAGGUAUAGCCCUACAUUUCUUUUUUUUUUUUCCUAUUCUUUUUCAUUUUUUUUGAUUUUAUUAACCAAAAUCAAAUUUCUUUUUGUUUUAUGGCCAUUUGGGUACUUUUAAAAAUAAAUAAAUAAAUCUUUUAUCUUGUUUUGAGGAAUUAUUUGAUAAUUUAAUGGGUUUUUUUUUGGGGUGUGUUGGGGAUAUUAGUUAAAAAGUAAUUAUGUGAUUUGUUCUUUCGUUGAUCUUUUUUUUUUUUGGAUCCAUUUUUAUGCAUACUUGACUUUUUAAGGGAAAAUAAAUUUUGCUUAAAACUGCAAAAUUAUGGGGUUUUUUUUUUUUUUUUUUAAAUCAUAGCUCUGUAUUGAAUAUGUUUAAAAUUUUCUUUUGAUACAAUUUAUUUUGAGCUCAUAAUGUGGGCUAAAAAUGCAAGACAAAGAUAGCAAAGAAUAUGUGUUGUUUGAGCUUAGUGUUAAGAACAGGACAAUGAAUUUUAUGUUCAUUGUUUCCUUCAUUGAAAGCCUGUAUAAAUAAUUUCCUGCUUUGCAUCUCAGCUACGCCAAAGGAUUUUCCUCUUCUAGAGAGAAACCCUUGCUUGAAUUCUCUGCCAAAAAAAAUUUUUUUCAUCACUUUUCCUGGUGAUUAGCCAUAACAACUGGAAUGCAGAAACUUGGCUUUGCCAUACCUUUAUGAAAACCUUGAUCUUCGAGCUACUUGCCGGAUAUGAUUUUCAUUCCAUUGCAGGAGUUCAUCGACUUUAUCUGAUUCCGUGACUAAUGGUCCUGAAUAACCAACUUUUCCCUGAUGGUUGAAAACCAAGAUAAAUUGUAGUAGUAAGCAAAAGAAGAUGGCCAUGAGUGAAAACUAAGAAAAAACUGAUGAGAAUUACAGAUGCUGAAGGUGAUCUUACCAUGUUAUUAUUUGUGGCAGUUACAUCUUCCUGAUGGAACACAUCACUUGUAUAAAAAAUAUCUGACCUAUCAAACUUGUUUUGCACCAGUUGGUUCAAUCCGGUUAUCUGCUGUUUCUGCUCCCUGGGAGCAUCGGUAGAAACACCUUCAGGAACAUCUUGAUUCUCAUGUUUUAUUAAGUUAAGGAUG
rnacentral:lncRNA from 1 species